UACAGAGGUGGCAAGCGUUGUUCGGAAUUACUGGGCGUAAAGGGCGCGUAGGCGGUCUUGUAAGUCUUGUGUGAAAUCCCUUGGCUUAACUGAGGAACUGCACGAGAUACUGCAAGACUUGAGAUCGGGAGAGGGAAGCGGAAUUCCUGGUGUAGCGGUGAAAUGCGUAGAGAUCAGGAAGAACAUCGGUGGCGAAGGCGCUCUGCUGGACCAUAACUGACACUCAGGGACGAAAGCUAGGGGAGCGAAUGGG
rnacentral:rRNA from 1 species